UGCCGGGUUGUGUAAUCGGCAGCACAACGGAUUUUGGAUCCGUUUGUCCAGGUUCGAGUCCUGGCCCGGCAG
rnacentral:tRNA from 1 species